rnacentral:rRNA from 1 species
GACGUAGGGGGCGAGCGUUGUCCGGAUUUAUUGGGCGUAAAGCGUGCGUAGGCGGCUGCGCAAGUCGGGUGUGAAACCCCGGGGCUCAACCCCGGAACUGCAUCCGAUACUGCGUGGCUAGAGGUAGGUAGGGGAGAUCGGAAUUCCUGGUGUAGCGGUGAAAUGCGCAGAUAUCAGGGGGAACACCGGUGGCGAAGGCGGAUCUCUGGGCCUUACCUGACGCUCAGGCACGAAAGCUAGGGGAGCGAACAGG